rnacentral:lncRNA from 1 species
AUAUAUUAAGUGUAUACUUUUUGAGAAGCAGAGAAGUAUUUUCGACGAAAAACAAAUUGGCUCCAUGGAGCCUCACCACCAAAAACACUUUACAAUCUAGGUAGAACUUAAAUAGCUAUCCUCUAUGGAGAGUUCUACUCGCCGCACUUUGAGGUUCCGGAUUGGUAUCCCCUUUUCACUAUGGGCCCAAAACCUGCCUCAGAUUCGCCCAUUUCAGUAGCAAGCUACCACGUAAAACCCAUCUUGAUGUCCUUCUAAGCGACAUUGACAACCUGUGCUAGGGCAACGAAUAUGAUGGUAUAAUUACCUAUAUCUUAUCUUUAUCUUUAUCUUUAUCUUUAUCUUUACUUACUAAUAAAGCAAAUAGUGCUUCUUCCGUACGUCAUUCAAAUUGCCCUUCAAGUUGAAUAAAAUUACCCACAAAUGCCACUUAUAAGUCAUAAAAAACGUUUCAAACAGGAAUAUAUCCGGACUGGGCCGGCCCACGUAGGCACCUCCUAUA